GUGGAACAAUGACAUUUUGAGAAUCCCGCGAAAAUAUUUUAAUUCCUAUAGGUUUGUUUUAUACGCAUCACGUUGCAUUACUUUGCACGGGUACAGCCCUGCAGAAACUUAAUAAGACCCGGGUCAAACAAAGAUGAGAGUUGGUAAAAGUUGUAAGUCUCGUUUACAUAUAGUCAUAUACACGGGUUUUCUGGGGGUGCAGAGAGUGCGCAAAUCCAAAACAUUUUGCUCCCCCUCAGAAAGCUUUCCCAACCUACCUAGAGAAUUUUGCAACCCCCCACUGCUCAUUGGCUUAAAUAAUAGUAGUAUGAUUUAAAUAAGGAUUUUAAACUAAAUACGACCAAAAAUCUUUCCUGGGGGCUACCAACAAUCAUGUCCUCACUAGAGACAAUACUCCCAAACCCCAUUUUCAUACCCAGAGCCCUUCUUACGCGCGGUCAGCGACGAGGGGCUCUGGCAAAAUCCAAACCGGAUACCAUAAAAACAUGGUAUCCGGUUAAACAAUGCGCAUGCUCAAUAAGAGUUGAGCAUACGCAGUGUUUAACCGGAUAUCAUGUUUUUAUGGUAUCCGGUUUGGAUAUUCCCAGAG